CAGUCGCCACGGUAAUACGAAGGGGGCUAGCGUUGUUCGGAUUUACUGGGCGUAAAGGGCGCGUAGGCGGGCGAAUAAGUCAGGGGUGAAAUCCCAAGGCUCAACCUUGGAACUGCCUUCGAUACUGUUUGUCUUGAGUUCGAGAGAGGUAAGUGGAACUGCGAGUGUAGAGGUGAAAUUCGUAGAUAUUCGCAAGAACACCAGUGGCGAAGGCGGCUUACUGGCUCGAAACUGACGCUGAGGCGCGAAAGCGUGGGGAGCAAACAGGAUUAGAUACCCCCGUAGUCCCUGUCUCUUAUAC
rnacentral:rRNA from 1 species